CUGCCGAUAGGAGAUGGCAUUCCUCCCCUAGAACCGCCCCCAACGGGGCUAAUGAUGCCUACAGGCCU
rnacentral:ncRNA from 1 species